AAGGAUCUCUAUCUGGAGAUUGCUCCCCUUGGAGUCCUUCUGUGAGCUCAGGACAGGGGUGAUGAAGACAGAAGAAACUGGUGCCAGGUUGUUCAUUAGCCUGACCCUAAAGCAAGAACUCUUUGGCCUUCUGUGACUUCUUUGCUUAUUUGGACUUCUCACAAAUGUACUUUGUUUUGUGUAAACACAAGGCUUCUGGAUUGGAUCCAAAGUUAAGACUGGAUCUCCGAAACAGUCUGUGCUAUAGUGCUUGAAAGAAGCACUACCUAUAUUGUAACACAUGCAUACUUCCCUGGCUAUCCUAUUUCCUGGGUAGUAAAUAUAGUUUACUGUGAGAUUAAUCUAUGGUACUAUACUAGUUACUGAGUGAUCAGUACAAAAUGUAAUUAUUUUUUACCAGCAGAAAUCUAUUAAAACUGCAAUGUAGCAAUAAACAAUAUUCAGGUAGAAAACACACAGGAUGUACUACUUUCUAUUAGCAGUACAUCAUUGACAUGAACAGUUUGUUCAUAGCAGCUAUACAAUUAGUUGCAGAUCAUCAUUAAAUUACUGUGAACUUCAAACACAUCCUCAAGGAGAAAUUGAUGGAAUUUGGAAAUUAGAAGCUGUCAUUUGCUGUACAAAGUGAGGAUCUGUGCACUUUUUUCAUUUAUAGCAGCAGCAUGAAACAGAAAACUGUGUUUAUCAUGUCUCAUCUUGAGGGUCUAAUGUCUGGAUCCAGUGCAGAGAGAGAAGUAAGGACUAGCUCCUUCAGGCAAAGUGUGUGGAGAUUGAGUGUACCUUGAGUUACAAACAAGUCUGUCCUUGGGUAGAAAUGCCUGGGGAACACUGGUGAGCUUCCUACCCUGAAGAGAUACAUCUGAACAUAGUUUCUUCUCUCUUUUUUCAACACAGUUGUUUCACCAGAGGACUAGAUUAGAGUCAAAUCUAUUUUUUUGUGUAAUUUUUGCCUGGAUGGUUGGAAACAUAAAAAAGAUUAUUGAUACUAUCUGGCCUAUUUUUUUUUUUUGCCACGAAAGGAAAAGCAUGGUCUUUAAUACCAUAUGUGUCUAAUCUAUUUCUGUUUACAUCUGAGAAUGAUAGACAUACUGCGUAUAAUAAGCUCAAAACUUGUAAGAAUAAAAGCAGGUGGUUAUUAAAAAACAGUGCUGAAGACUGUAGGAUACUGGGAAAUAAGUUAGCUGCUUAAUGCCUGCAAACUGGGGAAUGAGAAAAUGGAAAAUAUCUGCUUCUCAGUGGAAGCUGUUGGGAAGUGUUAGAAGUAAAGUUUCUUAGUAAGAAAACUGCAUAAUAAAAAGGCACGGCCUCACUGCUGCAAGCUAGGCUAAUUUUAACAUAGCAGGCUCACAGAGUGGAAAAAUACAUUUUAUGUAGUACAGGAUGUGUUAUCAUAUGUGACUUAUGCCUUGUUUUUGUUCAGAUCCUGUUGAAUCUUUACUCAGCUGUGUAACUUGCCAAGGUGAGUGGCAGCCUCUCAGUAUAUAUGCUGAUACUUGAGGAGCCAGGGAAUAAAUGUCAUACCAGUC
ensembl:lncRNA